rnacentral:rRNA from 1 species
CUACGGGUGGCAGCAGUCGAGAAUCUUCCACAAUGCACGAAAGUGUGAUGGAGCGACGUCGCGUGCGAGAUGAAGGCCUUCGGGUCGUAAAUCGUUUUUAUAAGGGAAGAAUUUAGAUGACAUUACCUUAUGAAUAAGGGGUUGCUAAUUGCGUGCCAGCAGCAGCGGUAAUACGCAAACCCCAAGCGUUAUCCGGAUUUAUUGGGCGUAAAGGGUGGGUAGGCGGAUAUAGCAGUCAGUCGUUAAAUCACUGGGCUCAACCCAGUAAUCGCGAUUGAAACACUAUGUCUAGAGAUAAGUAGAGGUCAACGGAACUCAUGGUGUAGCAGUGAAAUGCGUUGAUAUCAUGGGGAACACCAAAGGCGAAGGCAGUUGACUGGGCUUUAUCUGACGCUGAGCCACGAAAGCGUGGGGAGUGAAGGGGAUUAGAUACCCCCGUAGUC